GCACCGCUGGUGUAGGGGUAUCGUGCAAGAUUCCCAGUCUUGUGACCCGGGUUCGAUUCCCGGGCGGUCCA